UGGAUACUACAGUAUGUAUUCGUGACAGUGUUUUUUUGAGGAAAAAAAAGUAGGAUUUCUUUUUUCCUUACGUUUUCAGAUCACAUCCUCAAGUGGAUCAGGCUCAUUAGAGGAGUCACUGCAGACUGUGUUGAACAAUUGCUGCUUGCACUGCCAGCGGCCGAAGAAACCCCCAGUGACCAGUGAUCGGAUAGCAAACAGUGCUGACCCAAAAGAGUUGUACUGCUGUGAGAAGGCAUGGAAGAUAUCACAGAUUUUGCUGAAGGGUGCAGAAGUUAUCAGUAAAGAAACCGUGAUUGAUAGGACCCAGCGAUGCAGAAAGAUCAAAGGUUGGAAGCACACAAACUACUGUCUACCACUCUACAUAAUCGACCUACUGAGGAUGAAGAUGCUUCAACUGCGAUGAAGGAAGUUUCAUUCCCUGAAAUAGGAAUUG